rnacentral:rRNA from 1 species
UUGAUUCGCCUUGAGGUGACUGAGUGGCGGACGGGUGAGUAACGCGUGGGUAACCUACCCUAUACAGGGGGAUAACAGUUGGAAACAGCUGCUAAUACCGCAUAAGCGCACAGCUUCGCAUGAAGCAGUGUGAAAAACUCCGGUGGUAUAGGAUGGACCCGCGUCUGAUUAGCUAGUUGGUGAGGUAACGGCUCACCAAGGCGACGAUCAGUAGCCGACCUGAGAGGGUGACCGGCUACACUGGGACUGAGACACGGCCCAGACUCC